rnacentral:rRNA from 1 species
UACGAAGGUGGCAAGCGUUGUUCGGAUUUACUGGGCGUACAGGGAGCGUAGGCGGUUGGAUAAGCCCUCCGUGAAAUCUCCAGGCUUAACCUGGAAAGUGCAGAGGGGACUGUUCAGCUAGAGGAUGGGAGAGGAGCGCGGAAUUCCCGGUGUAGCGGUGAAAUGCGUAGAUAUCUGGAGGAACACCGGUGGCGAAGGCGGCUUUCUGGACAAAUACCGACGCUGAGGCACGAAAGCUAGGGGAGCAAACAGG